CCUACGGGAGGCAGCAGUGAGGAAUAUUGGUCAAUGGACGAGAGUCUGAACCAGCCAAGUAGCGUGAAGGAUGACUGCCCUAUGGGUUGUAAACUUCUUUUAUCAAGGAAUAAAACGAGGCACGUGUGCCUUUUUGCAUGUACUUUAUUAAUAAGGAUAGGCUAACUCCGUGCCAGCAGCCGCGGUAAUACGGAGGAUCCGAGCGUUAUCCGGAUUUAUUGGUUUUAAAGGGAGCGUAUAUGGGUUGUUAAGUCAGUGGUGAAAGUUUGCGGCUCAACCGUAAAAUUGCAAUUGAUACUGGCAGUUUUGAGGACAGUUGAGGUAGGCGGAAUUCGUGGUGUAGCGGUGAAAUGCUUAGAUAUCACGAAGAACCCAGAUUGCGAAGGCAGCUUACUAAACUGUGACUGACAUUGAUGCUCGAAAGUGUGGGUAUCAAACAGGAUUAGAUACCCUAGUAGUC
rnacentral:rRNA from 1 species